UACAGAGGGUGCGAGCGUUAAUCGGAAUUACUGGGCGUAAAGCGUGCGUAGGCGGUUAUGUAAGUCGGAUGUGAAAGCCUCGGGCUCAACCUGGGAAUUGCAUUCGAGACUGCAUAGCUAGGAUGCGGAAGAGGGAAGUGGAAUUUCCGGUGUAGCGGUGAAAUGCGUAGAUAUCGGAAGGAACAUCAGUGGCGAAAGCGACUUCCUGGUCCAGCAUCGACGUUCAGGCACGAAAGCGUGGGGAGCAAACAGG
rnacentral:rRNA from 1 species